GCAGCAAGCCGAAACAAGGAAGUGGGACAGAAAUAAUUUCAGCGCGACGUUUUAGUAAAAAGACAGAGAUAGGCUUUAAAAUUAUUUUGGCCAAUAAGAAACCACGACUUGACAUUAAUGUUCGUGGUUGGAAAUUUAUUUUUAAUACUCCAAGUUGCCUGAAGACUUUUAUAACCGAACCCUCAGAGGGCCAGUGAACACGUUACAACCUUCAGAGGGCCAGUGAACACGUUACAAAUGUCUAGAACAACAAGGGUCCACCAACAGUCCCCCAUGAAGAGCUGGGUCAACCUCCUGUUCUCUGUUUUACUGGGAACACUCAUUCCUCAAUCCGGAGCAGAAUGCUACUGGAACAUCAACGAUGUAUGCCAGUAUGGCAACCAUCAUUACGAAGUUGGUGAAUCCUGGAAGACCAUUGAUUGUUUUCACUGCAGCUGUGUGAAGGCAGGCCAAGUAAUUUGCUGUGACAUGGUCAAUUACUCAGUUGACCAUAGUAAUCGCUGUGAUGUUUGGUACGACCCAUCGACUUGUCAACUCUCGCUUCUCUGUGGCCGUAGCUUGCUGAAGACACAGAAACGCUCCAUUAAAUCAGAUGUACCAUUUAAUGACAAAUUAGAUUCACACUCAGCUCAUCCAGUGACCUAAUAUAUCGAAACAAGUCAUAUUUCAAGCAAAGAAGACAAAGUUAUUUAUAAACAUUCUGCAUAAAAUAUGUACGCAUUAAAUUGUAAAUUUUAUUUAAAUUAUUUUUAAUAGGCUAGAAUAAGAACUUGAUAAUGAUAUAUUUAUUGUAUCUGAACAUUAUACUCCAUAGAACAUGACCGUAACAAAAACUAUUGUAUAAAUCUUUUUGGUGUUGUACUUCUAAAAUUAAUGUUAUUCAAAGGACUAGUGUUAUUGUUGGGUGAACUGAAGAAGCAGGUUUGACAAAUCUCCCCAUUUCCUAGUUAAAUUCUGUUCCUCAACUAAAUUUACCAUGGUAUCAUGAGCCACUAUCAAUCCAGAAAUACUCUCAUUCUGCAUUCCACUUUUUAAAAUUAUUUAGCGUUUCAUUUCUUUAGAAUGAAGUUCACAAUAUAGUAAAAGUUGCAAGGCAGAGUUGCCUGGGAGCAUUUGUGAUUUUUAAGAGAUGAUUGUCUUCAUCACUUAAGAAGUUACCUUCUGAAAAAGAUUGCUUGUUAUAGAAUUCGCUCAGUUAUCAUUAAAAAGAAAUUGAUUCAAUAUAUUGCUUGUAGAAGGAUGCUUCUUCAACUCCCAGAUAUAGAAGGCAAAAGUCUAUACCUCAAACGUGAUCCAAUAUCAAGAGACCACUGUGACCAAAUUGUCAAGAGUCCAGCAGCUGCUGCUGAAACUUCAUUUCUUCAAAUAAUGGAAGUUUCAUUUAAUGGAAAAUGGGCAUACGUCUAAGCUGCAAUGGAAACAGUUCACAAAUGUGAACCUUCUGGAGAACCCACCGUCAACAGCCAGGCUUCAAGAAUAUCAUGUUAGCUGUAACAUGCUUUAGAAGAAAUGCAGAAUGACAUUGGAAAACAAAAACUGAGGAGCUGAAACAUCUAAAAUGAUCUCUAUGGCUUAACAGCUGUAACUUUUGCAGCUCCUAGCCUAACAAUUAAUGGAAAUGAAUGAAAUACUGCUGAUCAAGUUCAAAUGGAAAGUAGGUGUGAGGACCUCAUGGAGCUCCUCCGCUGGCAUUCCCACAUUUCACCGAUUCUCUGCGUCAUAUUGAGCAAUUGGCUGAAAAAUAAAUUUUGCCUCUUCCUCCUGCAGCCUCGAGUAUCUAGAAUCAAGCAAAGGUUCCACACAUCCUCAGGAAUGCCAACACAGUCAGCAGAAAGGAUCAAAAUUCAUGAGGAAAUUAUUAAGGGAUAACACUCCUCACAAUCAAGGAAAGAUCCUCACAAGGACCUAUUAAAAAAGAACCAGGCAGCCAUAAAAGUGAGUUCUUUCUGCAAUCACAGUGAGGGACAGCCAAUCUGAUGUUUGUAGCCAGACAAAGUUCAAGAAAAAUGCAGUGAGCAACAUUAGGAUCUGUAUGUGCUGUUCAUGGACCUAACUAAAUCUUCCGACAAUGUGAAUCAUCCUGAUCCGUAGCACUUUUGUCCAAGCAAAACAUGUCCAAAAACAUUUGUCAAAAUCCAAAGCCUACAGCAUGAAGACAUGUUUGGAUGUAUUUUUGCCAGUGGCAAGAUGUCAGAUGACUUUACAAUAACUAGUGACAUAAAGCAAGAAUUUGCCAUAUCUCCCCAUUUAAGGAAGCCACUGCAGAAAUCAGUAUUAAGUUUCAUUCAGGCAAGUUCUCCUGACUGUGUGCCUCCAAUAAAGUCACAGAGUAAUUGGAGGGCUUCUGAAUGCAACUGCUCACAGGAAGGAAGAUGUCCAAACUAAACCAAAUUCUCAAAUGCUUCCAAAAACUUGGCCUUCAAACCAGUGUCUACAACACCAAGGUUAUGUUUUAGUUGGCACAAAGUAAACAUUAAAGUUGAAGAUACUUGUCUCAAACUACUCCAACUUUGGCAUCUGCUCACAGGAAUACCAGUAAUGACAAAGAUAUCGGUGUUGACUGUGUUUCAAAGUGUGUGGCAUUAACUAAAGGUGAAAAUCAAACUCCAGCAGACCACUGUCCCUAGGACCCUGCUGUUUGAUGCAUGAUCCUGGACCUGCUAUUGACACCACAUCAAACCUCUGGAAUACACUCCUAACAAAGAGAUAAUGUUGUAACAAAAUCAGAAACAAUGAAGUCGUUCACUGCAUUCCAUUGAUAGCAUGGAGAACAGCGUCCAGUAAAUACAGCCUCAAUAUCCAGCCAUGUGUCCCUCAAGGAUGACUACAGAAAUUCAAGCUGUUCUUCUACAUAAUACUGCCUCAGAGUAAAUUACAUCAAGGUGAACAGUACAAACAAUGUACAGACACCCUCAAAAACAGCUUCAUAAACACCUGCACUGUAAGCUCCCUCUUUUAGGAAAACACGACAGCCAACUGCUCAUGUGGAUGGAAAUGUUAAAAUUUGGUUCAGCAUAUUUUCAAGGAUUAUCCACACCAAAUUCACAACGUGCAACAUACACAAAGGACAGCCAGAGAUGGCACAGCUGCAGAAGAUCCUACAAGUAACAAAAAGACCUAUAACAAUUGCAGAUGUCCAUAUUGAUCUUGCAUUGGACUCUUCAGCCAUCACAGAUCUGCAGAAGACAAUGAAAUUACUUACAGCAUGGACGAACUCAAAAAAAUUACUACUACUAGAGAAAACUAGGGAACCGAUUAGGGCUAAACAUCAAUAAGUCCCUUGGACAUGUUGGGAUGCAUUCACGAAUAUUAAAGAACGUAGCUACAGUAACAAUAGCUCCAUUGGUAGUAAUUUCCAAGGAAUCGUUAGAUUCUGGAAAAGUCCCAGAGGAUUGGAAAACUGCCAAGGAGACACCAUUACUUAAAAAGUGAAGGAGAUAAAAGACAAGUAACUAGAGGCCAGAUAACUUAAUGCUAUUAUUUGGACAACUUUAGAGGCUAUUACAAGGGAUAUAAUAGCAAAGCAUUUAGAAAUAUAUAACAUGAUCAAACAGAGUCAGCAUGACUUCAUGAAGGGAAAGUCUUCUUGACAAAUUCACUAGAAUUCUAUGAGGUGAUAACAAAUGGGAUAGAUAAAGGGAAUGCAGUGAAUAUAAUAUAUUUGGAUUUUAAGAAGGUGUUUGAUAAGGUGCCAUGCAUUGGGCUGUCUAAGAAGUGUUCAUAGUGAUGGAGGUAGUGUAUUAGAUGUGUGGAGGAUUAACCAACUAAUAGAAGCCAGACAGCUGCGAUAAGGGCUUUUUUUUAUCAAGAUGGCAACCUAUAACUACUGGAGUACCACAGGGAUCAGUGCUUGGGCUGAAUUAUUUAUGAUAUAUCUAUAUGACAUGGAUCAGAAGCAUGAUGUGCUAGAGCGAAUUUGUGGAGGACAGAAGAAUAGAUAGGGAGGCAAGUGGUGAGGAUGUCACAAAGAGUCUGCAGAGAGAUAUGGCAGGUUAAGUGAAUGGGCAAAAAUGUGGCAGUUAGAAUAUGAUGUGGGAAAAUAUUAGGCUUAUGCACUUUGGCAGGAAGAAUAGAUAAGCUGAAUGUAAUUUAAAUAGAGAAAUACUGCAGAAAAUUACAGAAUAGAUAGAUGUGGGAAUCCUUGCCCAUGAAUCAUAAAAAGCUAGUAUCCAAGUUCAACAGGUGAUAGGGAAGGCAAAUGAAAUGCUGGUCUUUAUUUCAACUAGAAUGGAGUGGGACUGGGUAGCUCUAUUGGGGGCCAGAACAGACAGAAUAUCCUCCUUCUAUACUGUACAAUUCUAUGAUUCAUGACUGCAUGGGUACAAUGGCAGGGAGGUUUUGUGAAAACUGUGUAAGGCUCUGGUCAGACCACAGCUGGAAUACAUAGAACAUAGAACAUAGAACAUAGAACAGUACAGCACAGAACAGGCCCUUCAGCCCACAAUGUUGUGCCGACCAUUGAUCCUCAUGUAUGCACCCUCAAAUUUCUGUGACCAUAUGCAUGUCCAGCAGUCUCUUAAAUGACCCCAAUGACCUUGCUUCCACAACUGCUGCUGGCAACGCAUUCCAUGCUCGCACAACUCUCUGCAUAAAGAACCUGCCUCUGACAUCCCCUCUAUACUUUCCACCAACCAGCUUAAAACUAUGACCCCUCGU